GAGAUCAGAGAAGCGGCUACUGUUUAUCUUCCUCUCUACUGAGCUCGAUCUCAACUCGCCUGAGUUCGAGCUCACUCACUCAAAACGGUUCCUCUCCACGUCACCUCUAUUUCCAACGAAUUUGUCAGAGAGGGGUACGAUUAUUCUCUCAAAACCGCGGUUUCUUGUACAAAAGGACGAUUUGCUGGACGAAUGGGGGCCGUGGAUAGAUGUCAAUCGAUCCACGCCUUCCAUUUGUCCCAAAAAUUGUUCAAAAAUCUGAAGAUUUUCGGAGUUUUUGGCAGAUAUUUUUGAGAUUCUUGGAAGGCUAUAUAAGAAAGGAAUUUUGGUUUAAAUCCUCAAGUUGAAGAUUGGGGCUGGAGUUUCGAAUUUUCUGCACUCUGUCGAUUCUGUCCGAAGUGGUCUUUCGAAAUUUCGAUUUGGCUUGCAAGUUCUGCUCGAUACUGUUGCUGAAUCUCGCUGGAAUUUUGAAGUCAAGAAAACAGUGUAUUUGUUGAUUCUAUAAUUGCUAUAAAGGAAGAUUGCUAUUUCAGGUUCAUUUGUUUUCUUUUCUUAUGGUUUCCUGUUAUUUGUUUUUUUUUUUUAACUGGAUGUUGGCCUGUUACUUUUUAAUCCAUGUUUUGUUUGAGUUUUAUAAAGAACAUGAGAAUGAUUUUCGUACAUGGUA